rnacentral:ncRNA from 1 species
AGCACGCAUGACGGGUGUCCGAGGUUUUUACUGCAAAGUAAACCUCGGUCUGAGAAAUACCGUUAGAACUUGAUCUGGACAAUACCAGCGAAAGGACAUGCCUGCCUCAUUUU